CUAGGAGGUCUGUCCCAUCCCCCAAUCCGGCCGCCGCCAGCUACAGCUCCCUCCUCAGGAUCCUCCCUGUCUGGAUCCGCCGCCACAACUUCAUUCAACCAGCCAACGCGGGUUAGUUAGAUCCAGCAAUCCUGGCCGUGUGUGGUUAGAUCGGGCGAAUGGGAGGCCUCCUCGAUGCAGCGACCAACAUCCCCGUAAGGCCGAGCGCCUCGUUCCCCUCUUCUCUAGCCUCGAUCCAGGUUGGAUCGGAGUAGCAUCGGCGAGCGCCACCACCAGGUCACAACAGCCUUGAGCAUCUGCCCCUCUCCUUGCUUUCCAUCAUUCCUGUCUUUCUAACCUCCCUGCUCUCCCUUUCUUCUCUGUUGUUCAGGAACAACCAUGGCAUCCAUGAACUCCAUGUCUGCCCAAAUGGACUCGAGCAGCCGUCGUCCUUGCCGAAAGCUCCGCCUCACCUCGCCCCCGACCGGCUUUGUACGCCCCCGACCCAUCCCCGCCAUAUUCGCUGGUCGUGCCCUGUCGGACCUCCCUCGCAUGGAGUCGCCGUUGACUGCGCAUGUUUCCUCUGCAACGAGCAGGAACCGCUCUGUCAACGAGCAUCUCUCCAGACCUCUAUUGCGUGGGGCUUGCCCUGCUCCUGGGCCAGCUUGGCAUCCCGGACCAGCAGCGCCCUAGCCGAAGUCGGCCCAGCUCCAGCCAGCGGAGGCCUCGCAAGCCCCAUCGAGCCGGCCCAUGGCCACUUGGGUGAGCUCCAGCCCCACCUCUGUUUUAUUGCGCCCGAGGCACAGAAGAACUAUAUUGCGCCACUAGUUUCAGCCAAUAUUAGUUUUUUUCGAGUUCGGCGAUUUUAUCUACUACUAGGGAUUUCAAAAAGAUGUAUAUUUUAAAACGUUUGUAACUUUUAAUCCGUGUGUCGGAUUGCGACAAGUUAUAUAUGUAACUUGGCUAGAAUUUCACGUAGAUUAAUAUUUUCCCACUCUCAUGCAUAUUUAAAGCUGCUUAGCAUGCUGCCUGCAUUGGUUUGCGUGUUGGCGUGAUAGAAAACGGUUUAAUUCGUAGCGAGUUAAUCGUAGCUCCUUUGGAGAUGAGCUAUAUAUGUAAACCGACUAGAAUUAUGUGUCGUUUCACGUGAUCCACUUUGUUUUUCCAUUUAACAAAGUUGAUGUGUGGGGUCGUUUCAGAGAAGCUAUAUGACGUUUCCGGUCCCAUUUAAAAUGCCUAGAUAGGUAGUUUAAUUGUGCUUCACCCCUUGCCAUGUUUAGCAACAUUUAAUAUUAACGUGUACCUACACGGGAGUGAACUAAAUAAUUAAAUGCGUAGUUUCAUUUAUAUUGAGCUUAACUUAAUGCGUAGUGUUUGCGUGGUGUGAAUUGCCAUGUCGUGCUUUGCAUAAUUGAAACAAAUCAUGCAUCAUAUGUGUUGUGCAUCAUGUCAUGCAUGUGUUGUGGUGUUUAUCGUGUGUUGAUUCUUGUUUAUGGUUUGCUUCUUCUCGAUAGUGUUUCGAACCGCUUCAGAGUGUGAGGAUCCAUUCAACUAUGUCGGUUCGUCUGCUUCAUGGAGUCGUUCUUAUUCCAAGAGGUAUCACAAGAAAGAUGAUCAUUUCCCUAGAUACCAUUACUAUCAAUGCCAUGCUAGUUGUCUUGUUUCUUUCGUUCUGUAUCGCUGCCUACCACCUGUUUAAUAAGCCUCCCAACAUUGCCAUGAUAACCUUCAACCUUUCCACAACCUAGCAAACCACUGUGUGGGUCUUUUACCACUUGCUUAACCAUUUUAUAGCGUUGCUAGUUGCAGUUGCAGUUGCUUCCAUGUGAUUGUUAAUUAAUUUAAUGCACCUAUAUACUUGGUAAAAGGUCGAACGCUUGGCCUUCUAGCCUAGUGUUUUCUUCCACCUUUGCCGCCUUAGUUUCGUCUAACAGUGUUAUGUUCCAUAAAUGAGCGUUCCUAACAUGCUUGGGGUUGUUAUGGGGACCCCCUUGACUUUCGUUUUGGGAUAAAGAUGGUCUCGCAAGGCCCAACAUUGGAACUAUAUUUGCCCAACAUAAUAAUACUGAUAUUAAUCUGACGCAUAGGCGGUUAGCUCUAACCGAGGAGUAAUUCAACAUAAUACAGGGAGGGCCAGUGUUGAUGGUGCUGGUCCUAAAUAGAGAAGUGUGCGGGGCCAACCCAGGGCAACUCGAGAGAUUUCUAUCAGCCGCUGUACGUGUACCUCAUCCGUCGUGUCCUGAGAACGAGAUACGUUGCUCCUAUCGGGAUCAUCGACAAGCCGGGCGGCCUUGCUGGACUUGUUUUACCUUUCUCGAGCAUCUCGUGCGUGGGAUUCUGAGGAUACUUUGGGCUAUCUCAAGGUUGUGGUUUUCUAAUAGGAACCCGAGGAGAUGACGAGUUUUCCCUGAUUGAUGUCAUUCCGGCGCAGCGUGUGGUAGUUUGCUAUGGACUAGUUGGAGCACCAAUGCAGGGUUAAAUCUUUCGAAAAGACAUGCCCGCGAUUAUGUGGCAAAGUGGAGACUUUGUUUAAUAUCCGGUUCUAGACGACCUGAAGUAAACUUAAUUAAAACUUGCCAACCGUGUGCGUAACCGUGACUCUCUCUUUCGUGAGCUCUUUCUCCAAUUGAUGACACAGUGGGGUUAUGUAUGACGUAAGUAGGUGUUCAGGAUCAUUCAUUUGAUCAUUAUUAGUUCACGUUCGAUCAUGCAUAGAUCACCCCCUCUUAUUCUGGUACUCGUAAGUUAGCCACCUCAAAUAAAUGCUUGGUUGCUGCUGCAACCUUACCACUUAACCAUACCUCACCCAUUAAGCUUUGCUAGUCUUGAAACCUUUGGAAAUGAGAUUGCUAAGUCCCUGUGGCUCACAGAUUACUACAACACCAGUUGCAGGUAUAGGUAAAGUGAUAUUAAGACGUGAGCGCGAUGAUUGUUCAUUUGGAGUUUCUCCUUCUUCUUUGUCGAUCUAGGAUGGGUUCUAGGCCGGCAGCCUGGGAUUGCAAGGAUGGACGUCAUUCUUUUAUCAUUUGUUUUUGUCCGUAGUCAGACCCUUCUCUUCUUCAUGAUGACUGUAUCUUGUUGUAUUGAUGUGACUCCCAUGUAGCUUGUGGCGAGUGUAAGCCAAUUCCAUAUACUCAGGUUUUUAGUACAUGUACUUGUAACGAUAUCCAUUCUUGCAAAACAUCGAGAUGCGCUUCUAUCCCUGUCGAGG
rnacentral:lncRNA from 1 species